rnacentral:rRNA from 1 species
AAUGAACGCUGGCGGCAGGCCUAACACAUGCAAGUCGAACGGAUCCUUCGGGAUUAGUGGCGGACGGGUGAGUAACGCGUGGGAACAUACCCUUUGGUACGGAAUAGCCUCGGGAAACUGGGAGUAAUACCGGAUGUGGUCGAGAGACGAAAGAUUUAUCGCCAAAGGAUUGGCCCGCGUUGGAUUAGGUAGUUGGUGGGGUAAUGGCCUUCCAAGCCGCCGCUUCAUAGCUGGUUUGAGAGGAUGAUAAGCCACACUGGGACUGAGACACGGCCCAGACGCCUACGGGAGGCAGCAGUGGGGAAUCUUAGACAAUGGGGGAAACCCUGAUGUAGCCAUGCCGCGUGAUCGAUGAAGGACUUAGGGUUGUAAAGAUCUUUCAGGUGGGAAGAUAAUGACUGUACCACCAGAAGAAGCCCCGGCUAACUCCGUGCCAGCCGCCGCCGUAA